GACGAACGCUGGCGGCGUGCUUAACACAUGCAAGUCGAACGUGAUUUUUGUGGAAAUUCUUUCGGGAAUGGAAAUGAAAUGAAAGUGGCGAACGGGUGAGUAACACGUGAGCAACCUACCUUACACAGGGGGAUAGCCGUUGGAAACGACGAUUAAUACCGCAUGAGACCACAGAAUCGCAUGAUAUAGGGGUCAAAGAUUUAUCGGCGUAAGAAGGGCUCGCGUCUGAUUAGCUAGUUGGAAGGGUAAAGGCCUACCAAGGCGACGAUCAGUAGCCGGUCUGAGAGGAUGAACGGCCACAUUGAACUGAGACACGGUCCAAACUCCUACGGGAGGCAGCAGUGGGGAAUAUUGCACAAUGGGGGGAACCCUGAUGCAGCGACGCCGCGUGAGCGAAGAAGGUUUUCGAAUCGUAAAGCUCUGUCCUAUGAGAAGAUAAUGACGGUAUCAUAGGAGGAAGCCCCGGCUAAAUACGUG
rnacentral:rRNA from 1 species